UGGCGACCGGCGCACGGGUGAGUAACGCGUAUCCAACCUGCCCUUUACUAUGGGACAGCCCGUCGAAAGGCGGAUUAAUACCGUAUGUUGUCAUGUUGAUGCAUAUUUUCAUGACCAAAGGCUUCGGCCGGUAAAGGAUGGGGAUGCGUCUGAUUAGCUUGCCGGCGGGGUAACGGCCCACCGGGGCGACGAUGCGUAGGGGUUCUGAGAGGAAGGUCCCCCACACUGGUACUGAGACACGGACCAGACUCCUACGGGAGGCAGCAG
rnacentral:rRNA from 1 species